UACGAAGGGGGGCUAGCGUUGUUCGGAAUCACUGGGCGUAAAGGCGCGUAGGCGGCCUUGUAAGUCGGGGGUGAAAGCCUGUGGCUCAACCACAGAAUUGCCUUCGAUACUGCAUGGCUUGAGACCGGAAGAGUAGUGGAACUGCGAGUGUAGAGGUGAAAUUCGUAGAUAUUCGCAAGAACACCAGUGGCGAAGGCGGCUGACUGGUCCGGAUCUGACGCUGAGGCGCGAAAGCGUGGGGAGCCAACAGG
rnacentral:rRNA from 1 species